GAUCAUGGCUCAGGACGAACGCUGGCGGCGUGCUUCAUACAUGCAAGUCGAACGAGAAUCUCUAGCUUGCUAGAGAGGAAAGUGGCGGACGGGUGAGUAAUGUGUAGAGAAUCUGCCCUUGAGAGGGGGACAACAGCUGGAAACGGUUGCUAAUACCCCAUAUGAGCGUACCUGCGAUGGUAUUCUUGAAAACUCCGGUGCUCAAGGAUGAGUCUGCAU
rnacentral:rRNA from 1 species